AAAUGGUGAAUACACCAAAAAAUCAAAAAGAUCUUCAAAAGCAUCUAGCUCUAGGUUGAGUGAUCCAUGUGAUGAAAAAAUUCUUAGAAUGCAUGAGUAUUAUCAACCUCAACCUAGAAGAGUUAGAAAGGAAAGAAAAGAAAGUCCAAGCCAUUGCCGUAGUGAUGUCUUUCUCCUUGAUGAUGAGGUCUUUGUCCAUGAAAUUGUGGUGGAUUCCUCCUUCUCCUAUGCUCUUCUUCACGGCCAAAAUCAUUUGAAGAGGCUCUUGAAGAUGGUAUAUGAGAAUGAUGCCCAUCAUGGAUAGAAGGAGAUGGUCUAGCUUGUUGGACCUCCAUCUUUU
rnacentral:lncRNA from 1 species